rnacentral:rRNA from 1 species
GAUGAACGCUGGCGGCGUGCCUAAUACAUGCAAGUCGAGCGAACGGACGCGAAGCUUGCUUCUCUGAUGUUAGCGGCAGACGGGUGAGUAACACGUGUAUCACCUACCUAUCAGACUGGUAUAAUUUCGGGAAACCGGCGCUAAUCCCGGAUAAUAUUUUGAUCCGCAUGGUUCAAAAGUGAAAUACGGUCUUGCUGUCACUUCUCGCUGGAUCCGGGCUGCUUUAGCUAGUUGGUAAGGUAACGGCUUACCAAGGCAACGAUGCAUAGCCGACGGGAGAGGGUGAUCGGCCACAUGGGAACGGAACCACGGACCUGACUCCUACGGGAGGCAGCAGUAGGGAAUGGUAGGCAAUGGGCGAAAGCCUGACGGAGCAACGCCGCGUGAGUGAUGAAGGUCUUCGGAUCGUAAAACUCUGUUAUGAGGGAAGAACAUAUGUGGAAGUAGCUGUGCAGAUCUUGACGGUACCGAAUCAGAAAGCCACGGCUAACUACGUG